CAGCACUUUCUGGUUAAACACUGAUCAUGAAGACGAUAUAUCGAUAAAACUGUAUGGUUUAUCGAUAGAAUCGAGUUAGUUAAGUAUCGAUAAUAUCGUCCACCUUUAACAGUGACUCUACUACUGAUCAAGGAAUCAGAUUUGAGUUUAUCAAAGGACAGGCAAUAAAUUGAAUCAUGUGGUGGGCUGUUGUUCCAUCAGUGGCAGCUCUUGGAGUCACUGUGUUAGCACCUACAGCUUUGGGCCCAAUUUGUAAAUGGUGGACAUUCGGGAUUGCUAGAGACCGAUCUAUCUGGGAGGGGACAGGAUCUUGCAUUUGUGCGUCGGGAUAAAAGAUUGUGUCCAAUACCAGGAAAAAUUUACCACAACACAACUAGGUUGUUUGAUGAGGAAGAUCUUCCAGUUGAAUCAAAAUGAGUACCAUUAAUCUAGUGUAACUACUGUAAUAGUGUAUAAUAAAUAAAUACCACGUAAUGAGAGGAAAUUUUAAUAUAAUUUACAGUUAUUUGCAUAAGUUCACGUUAUUGUUCACCCGAUUAUUGUAACUAUAGACUACUCGGUAAUCCAUUUUGAAUGUUUCAUUACAAUGAGGUGAAUAAUCUCGACAUGUAAUUUUUCAUGUAAAACAUCCCAGUGUUAUUACCAAAGAUGUGCAUUAAGUUAUUGAAUAGAUGAUCUUGAAUAAUGA